rnacentral:lncRNA from 1 species
UGUUAAUAUGCAUGAAUUUGGAAAUAGCUGCUGUUUAACUGAUGGUGAUAAUGUGAGCUGACGUUAGUCAAUUGAGGUUAUGGCUCUUAUGUCUAGGAGCUAAGCAGCCUGACACUUGUGAGUUAUCUGGCAUGAAGUAAUUAUUUUCUCAGAAGAUCUUAUCAUUGCUGAUCAAGUAUGAGCUCUAACCAAGGAGCUGCAAAACCCGGCAUGUGUUCAUAUUUCACUGAAGAAUACCUAAAAAACCCUGGUAUCUGCAAAUGUAAUUUGCAAAGUUGACACCUUAUUUUUCCCCAGUUAGCAUUUUCUUUAGCUUCUGCAACAUUUAGGUUUAUAGAAGUGUAUCUAAUAUCUAAACUUUAUAGUACAUGCACCAGAAAUGUUUUGUUUCUCUUUCAUGCUUUUAAAAAAUAUAUGUUAUUAAAUAGAGUGAAGGUUUAACUGUAACACUGAGUCAGAGUUUUCUGCGCUUAAGUUUUCUGAAAUAAUCCAAGUCAGCAUUUUUUAAAGUAGAAACAUUUACAACCUGUGAAGUACAAUUUGAUAAAAGACAUGCUGAUAUGCUAGAAGUUAAUGCAGCUUCCUGUGGUGCUGAACUUAUUCAAAGGAAGGAUAUUAUGCACAGGAAGAAUCUCACCCAACAAUCCCAUAUUUAAGGUUAAUAGAGUAAGCUAUACUAGAAUCUGAGGAAGAAAAUAAAUUUAAAAAUCACAUAGGUUGGCUAAGUCGUGCUUUCUGAUCCUUAAGAGUUUAAAGUGGAAACUGGGACAAAAGUGCACCAUAUGUGAAGAACUGCUGACAGAAAGACAAUCUUUUAUCAUUAAAACAAAGGUUAAAUAAAGAUUAAACUCAGAACAGCAGCAAAAGCUCUGGAGGCUUUGGGUAGGCAAGACGCCCAGAUGUUCUUCCUAUCGUUUCAGUUGGCAUAUGAGCAAAGGUGAGGGAGGUCAAGUGGGUAGGCGGCUGGUAGUAGGGUAGAUGAUGGCAUGGUCAUCCAUUAUUCUUGUAGAGUCUGAGAGUAGGACUGCUUCUGCUAGCACAUUAAUUAAUAAUUCCCUCUACAUAUUUCAAAGUCUUAUUGAAAUUUGUUGGAUUCUGCUUAUGUUCAUCUGAUCCCAAUAGUGCCCUUUUAAUUCACCCUACCUCUGUACAAUAAUUUUAGUUACACUGGGAACAAAACAAUGUGGUUUUCAAACAGAAUUAGGGAAAAUUGAUUUCAUGAUUUUCAUAUGCACAGGUAUUAGGUUGGUACAAAAGUAAUGUAGUUUUUGCAAUUAAAUGGCAAAACUAUAAUUACUUUUGCACCAAUCUAUAAUUUGGCAAUAUGGGUGCUAUUAUAUUGUACAAUAAUCUAAGAAUAUAAUAAAUAUUCCAAUGAAGCAAGGAUUCUACGACUUUUCCUGAUGAACAAUUUUUAUUUUCACAUUUAUAAGAUUACCAUCAGCAUAUUGAAGUGUUAGUGAUCCAGAAACACUUGCAUUCUGGCCUAGUUCCUUCUCCUGAUGAUCUCAGAUUCAGUACUAAUUAGAAGAGGGGCCAUGGUAGAUAGGGAAAUAAUGCAGGUUUUUUAUUAUAAACUUGUGCAAUAUUUUGUAGUCUGUUUUUUUUUGUUGUUGUUGUUUUCUGGUCAAGUCACCCUCAGGAACAAUUAUCAAUUUGAUUGACAAUCAAAUGGGAAAUUAGCACUACUUUUUUUUUUUUUCUGUGUUCUCAAGUUCACAGGCAAUUUCUUCAGACUUUAUGUCAACUCAGACUGUCCAGAAAAAGUGUCCAAAUCCAAUAAUUUUGGGCUUCUGAAACUACACUCAACAAUUUUAAUUCAAAAUGAUCAUGGACUGUACUCAAAAUACUAGCCACUGCUUAUUCUUCAAUUACAUUAUUUUUAUAAGUGACAUUUCCCCAUCCACGACUGCUCCAAAGGGAUAGAAUCUGGGUGGCAAUGUUUGAACAGGUGAUCUUGCCUUUUGGCCUACACUUGAUAAAACCAGAGAUGAAGACAAACUCCAGCUGAUUUAGUCAAGUGUGUGUGUGUGUGUGUGUGUGUGUGUGUGUGAGAGAGAGAGAGAGAUAAUUAAGAUACUUAAAAAGUGUGUCAGUUUACAUAUUAUUGAGGUGACAUUUGGAUCCAUGGCAAAUCAAAACUAUGCCCAAAUUGAGAUCAGAAGGGAAAGGAAACUAAAAUUUGGUCCAUACAUUAAAGAAGAGAAAAUUUGCAGAGAUGCAGAUAACAAAGUCUAUGGACAGAGGAAGCACAUGUGCACCCAAACACAGUGUGAAUAGGAGGACACAGGGGCAUGGGGAGAGAGAGGCAGUGGAAGCUAGAAAAACAGAGUUUAGAGAAAAAGAGAGGCAAAAACUGAGACAAUAGUUAAAAAAAAAGAGAGAGAGAUAAUCUGGAACAGAGGAAAGUGAAAAGAGAGGAAGAUAAAUAGUGAAUGACAUUCCUAUUUCUCUGAAUAACAACUAUAGUAGCUUCAAUCAUAUCAGAUGAUAUUCCUUAUCUUCCUCCUUUCAGAUACCUAAUCUAAGUGUCAACCCCUCCAGGAAUGCUCCAAACUUCCACCCUUCUGAAGUUCCUCUUCCUCACAGUAUCAAAACA